UGGGGAAUAUUGGACAAUGGGCGCAAGCCUGAUCCAGCCAUGCCGCGUGUGUGAAGAAGGCCUUUUGGUUGUAAAGCACUUUAAGCGAGGAGGAGGCUACUUGGAUUAAUACUCUAGGAUAGUGGACGUUACUCGCAGAAUAAGCACCGGCUAACUCUGUGUCAGCAGCCGCGGUAAUACAGAGGGUGCGAGCGUUAAUCGGAUUUACUGGGCGUAAAGCGUGCGUAGGCGGCUUUUUAAGUCGGAUGUGAAAUCCCUGAGCUUAACUUAGGAAUUGCAUUCGAUACUGGGAAGCUAGAGUAUGGGAGAGGAUGGUAGAAUUCCAGGUGUAGCGGUGAAAUGCGUAGAGAUCUGGAGGAAUACCGAUGGCGAAGGCAGCCAUCUGGCCUAAUACUGACGCUGAGGUACGAAAGCAUGGGGAGCAAACAGG
rnacentral:rRNA from 1 species